rnacentral:lncRNA from 1 species
CACGAGCGGAAUGCACAGUCCCCGACCGUGUUAGUUCUGGAGUGGCUUAUGGGAUGCGGACCCCUCCUUGUCCGCCCCUCCUUAACCAUACCAGGUCCAUUUCUAAUGGCAUUGCUUUUCCCCUACAUUAUUUUCAAUAGGAUAUUUUGGUUCUUCUGUGGAAUACUAUGGUAAAAAUGAAAAGAAAAUUUUUCUUAUUCCAGUAAGGACAAAUGGGGACAAGUCAGGAGCCUCAGAAAAUCUCAAUAGGAGAGAAACUCCAGUUUUCAAUUCCUGGAUGCCUAUCUGAGAUUUCAGCUCUUGCCUCACAUAGUUACAAGGAGGAAUGCUUUGUGGGGACACCAAUCUGAGCUAAGGCCUCUUGGAAGCACAUGGCCCGAUGGAGGAGGGACUGCGAGCUGCGGCUGGGAAUUGCUGACAUGAAUUACUGCUGCGUAUUCCAAAAGUCCGCUGAACCAAUGGGGAGCCAGGCGCUGGAGAGAGGGUCUGUCGUCUUCCUCACAACGUUUCUAAAUCUACAGAUGGCGAUGAGGAAGUGGUGCGCUUAUUUUUCAUAUUUUCUGAUAAGGUGCCAACAGAACUGACUUGCCAUUUUAAUGUAUGUCAUCUUUCCUGCAGUCACUGAGUGGCCUCGGACGGCUGUGGUUGAUCACUGGGGGCGAGCUGGACCCUCGCCCUUGAACAAAGUGCAGGGCCAGCGUCCUGGAGCCCGACUUCCUUACAUUAACCACCCUUGGGAGGGCUGACCCCAGGGCAGUGGAGGGUUCUGCAGCACCCUUCUGAGGUGGGGAGGCGCUGGCACCCAGCCAGCUUCCAAGGUGGACCCCUGCUGGAGGGAUGGAGAACAGGAAAGAAGAGGCUUGGAACAGACAGAAUUCUCACCCCGAGGCACACAGGCGAACCUGGCUUGCAUCCGUAGAACUCCCUGCCAAUCAGAGCUUGACUCCCCUCUCUUCUCCACCAAUCAAAGCUUGCACCACCUCCCCACCAGUUAAGGCCUUGCACACUGCAAGCUCCCCUACCAAUCAGAGACAGGCUCCCCUCUCCUCUCCACCAGUCAGGGCUUGUGCUACCUCAAACUCAAUUCCUCUGCCAAUCGGAGCCAAGCUACCCACAGCUGCAGAUAAAGAAAGAAUGGCCUUGUCAUCGAAGCCUGCAUGCAUUCACUGCGUCCUCCAGCUUGGUCGUAAAUCUCUUCGUGGAAACCUGGGCCUGCGGGUCUUUGUUGCUGUGUUCUUGUUGUUUAGAGGAGAGAGGAGGAGAAGAGUGAAGAGAGGGGAGAGCAGGGCAGGAUUAAUGGAGCGCCCUCCACACAGCUGACCACUUCAUUGGUCAAUAAGGGUCUGAAACAUCACAGGAAUAAACUGAAAACAUGCGGCUUUAACUCAGAUGUUCGUGGGACUCCUGACAUUGCAGGUAAAGAAAAUUGUUCCUAGUCUCAUUCAGUGAGUGGAAUUUAUUUCCCUUUGAAAUGCAAAUUUCUUAUUUAAAAAAGUCAGUCUGGUGUAGUUCUCCAUUCAAAGGCCCCAAGUCAUUGCCUAAUAAUAUUCUUGUGCAAAUGGAGUUUUAUUUUGGGAGAGCUUGAUCAGGACAAGGGGAGAACCAUGUAUAGGUUACAAACAUAAAGAAAAAAAAUUAAGGAAAUAAGUCUUACAGCUGCUUUGACCUCCGGGACCUCUGUCCAGGCUGACAUCUGCACAUGUGAAGAAUUAAGGGAUUUAGUGGAUGGUCAUCAAAAGCCAAUAGUGAUAUAUGACUCCUUAUGCUAAUGACACAAUUCAGGCUGCAUUAAUAAAAAUUUACUUUAUAAAACCAGAAUUGUGUGGUGAACACAUUGAUGUGCUGCCAGAACCCCCUGCAAGGAAGGACUUGGCCUCAGCUGCUGGGGGUGCUAUGGCGAGAUUACUGGGACCUGGUUCCUGUUCCGGUUAGGGUAUAGUAAUUCCUGGGGAUAGUCACUCAAGAUAGCUCUGUGAGUUUGCUUCAUCAAUAAGCUCUGCGGUAAGCUCACGUUGUUUUUCCUCAAAUAAGAGGUUCCAAAGACUAGACCUUGGCUGAGGGCUUGCUCUCCUGCAUACAGGUUAUAGGCUGCAUGAAUUGCCUCAGCUUCUGACAGCUGCAUCUCAAGACGACACCCCUACCCAGAGCAGCCCACAUCCAAUGAUGGAUCAAGCCAGGGUAUGGAGACUUGGCCAUCUCAGCCCAAAUUAGGACCACUCUGGAAAGGCUUCUGGCUCCAGAGAUCCCUAUGGGUUGGCCAAAGCUGUACGUGAGCUGUGCCGCAGCUCCACUUUUCCCUCUGCCCACGUUUGCUUUGGGCGCCUCUCUUCCACAAGUGUUGGUCUCAAGGACACUGCUGUAUAAACAUCCUGCACGCUAAACGCCACUUCAGAGUCCACUUUCCAGGGAACCCAGCCUACAGAGAAAUGGUGCCAGUUCUCUGCUCUGUGCUAGUUAUACCACACUUGCAGAGCUGCCUUCAGAGUUUGGGUAGAGAUUCUGUUCAAUCUACAAAGCUUUCUAUUAGACAAAGCUGCCUGAAAUGACAUAGGCAUCCUGUGAAGGGGAGGAGAUCCUCAAAGAGGAGAUGUUCAAAGAAAAACAGACUAUUGGAAAGAUGAGGGAUGUGCAAAGGGGUGAAAUCAAGAAUGCUAAGGGUGGAUGGGCUGGAUGUCCUCCAGGGUCCCUUCCUGCAUCAAGACCUUAUUAUCUGUAUUAGUUUGCUAGAGUUGCCAUAACAAGAUACCACAGCCUAGGUGGUUUAAACAACAGAAAUGUAUUUUCUCACAGUUCUGGAUGUGAGAAGUCCAAGAUCAAGGUCUCAGCAGCUUUGGUUUCUUCUGAGGCCUCUCUCCUAAGUUUGCAGAUGACUGCUUUUCUUCCUGUCUUCAGAUAGUCGUCCCUCUGUGUCUGUUUGUGUCCUAAUUUCCUCUUCUUAUAAGGACACUACUCAUAAUGGAUUAGAGCCCACCCAUAUGACCUCCUUUUACCUUAAUUACCUCUUUAAAGGCCCCAUCUCCAAAUACAGUCACAUUCUGAGGUGCUGGGAGUUAGGACUUCAACAUACGAAUUUUGAGGGGGCCACAAUUCCGCACAUAACAGUAUCCCAAGGUUUUAUUGUGUCCCAGAUGUAUAGCACUGUUUAGCACACGUUCAGCCCAGUGUUAUUAUAAAAGAUCAAAUUCAGUAUUUAACUACAGAAGCCAGAGUUAGCCAAGGUUAUGUUUGAAGGAGCAAUCAUACAGUUACAGAUUUUUAACUGCCAAGUAAGUACCCAGUUAGUGGCCUCUUAAAAUAGUGCUGUCUUCCUGAGUCUAGUAGCUAUGAAUAUCAUUAUAUGCACUCAACUUAAUCCAGGUAAUCCUAAUGUUGGCCAGGGUAGUCAGAGCACACACACAUAUUUACACAAAGGUGUGUUCACACACAAACAUGGACUCCAUACCCAAGAGACAAAGGGGGUUUCUAGAGAUAAUGGGAUAACUGAGUUUUCUGGGGAUACUAUCCGAGUACAGAAAGAAAAAGGUUACUACAGAAAGAAAAGAAACUUUACCUCUUGUAUUCACUGAGUAUUCAUUUAUUCAUCCAUUCAAACAAUAUCCAUUUGAGUUCCAAUUUACAUGGAAAACAUUGUGCUAAUGGAUUUGGGAAAAACCACCUUGUAAAAAUCAAAAUCCCACCCCCAGAGGAAAGCUUUGGUAAGACAAGCUGUGCUGCAGUAAUGACGAUGCCAUAAAGCGUGGGCUUUUUGUCCUCACAAGGACUGGGCUCAAGGUCCAGCUCCAUCCUGUGUCAGCUGGGUGACCUUUGGCAAGUCACUCAACCUCUCUAAGUGUCAGUUUCCUCAUUUGUGCAGUGAGGGUAAUCAUGACACUUACCCUCCAGUUAGAUUGCAGCCCUUAAGCAGCCUCCUAUGUAGAAAUCCUUGAGUUGGCUCAUACACUGUGAAAAUUAAAAGAGGCUGUGCAUGCAACAUGCUUUCUCAGGCACAUGCCCAGUAAAUGCUAAUCAGUAAGUAUCAUAAAGGUAGAGUGACCAAGUCAUCCCGCCUCCCACCCCCUACUUUCCGGAACACCCCUUAGUGCCAGACAAACCUACUAAGGAUGUCAAAGGAUGUUAUGUGUAAGUGACGUGAGGAUUCAGAGGGAGAAAGUGCCAGUUUUAAUUUGUUUAAGAAUGAGGAAUGGCUUUGUGAAAGGUAAAAGAUUUAAUCUGGUCCCUGAAGCAUGGCAAAUCCAAGCGGAAAGAAUGACAUAGACAAAGAAAUGCAGAUCAGGAAGAGUAAGGCAUAUUUAUAUAAUGGGUAAGUGCCCCCCAUCAGGAUGGAAAGUGGGAAUCUUUGCUGGGGUGCAGUGGAAGUUAAGGUAAGGAGGGAAGAUUGGAGCUAAAAUCCAAAGCAUUCAUAUUAGAUAGGCUGAGGAGGUUGAAGUUGGUACUCUGCAGCAGUGAGGAGCUACUGAAAAGUUUUAAGCUGAUCAGGGAGAUGAUCAGAAGUGCUUGAAGGAGAUGGCUCAGGUAACAGCCUUCAGUAACCCUUGGGAGUGUGGGCUGAAGUGGAGCAGGGAGAGGUUAGGGGAAGGAGGCCAGUACAGAAGAGGCUGAUGAAAUUGUCCAGAGGAGAGAGGAUGAGGACCCGAGCUCAGGCAGUGGCCUUGAGGCCGGCAAGAGGGCUGCAGAUGAGCAGACACAGCAGGAAGAUGUUCCCCUGUGGGGUUUGGCAGACAAUUGGCAGCAGAGACCAAGAGCAGAAAACGAAUCAAAUAUAUCCUGGCCACUGUGCCGCAAACAGAAGUAGAGAGACGAGGAAGAGGGCAACUUUGAAGAAUCUGACAUCAGAGUUGUUGACAGGAAUUGUUGAGGUGGCCAGACACCUGGAAGGAGGGUUGUUCAGCAGAUGUGGAAAUUGUCAGGUCUCAGGAUUGGGUCCCUGGCUAGAGAUAUGGACUUGGGAGCCAGUCCCAGAGAUGUGGGCCCCACAGUGGGACAGAGGUGGAGACUGCUGUGGGGGAGGGCACGGGGGUGUAUGUAGUCAGAGCAGGGAUGUAGAGGGUGAAGGAAAAGCCAGAGACUGAAGAGAGGACACACGCUUAUCAUUCAUUCACCCACACAGAUGUGGGGUGUAUUGAAGUCUGCCUUAACAGUCCCGAAGCUCAAGCUCACUGUGGGAGGCUGACGGUGGAGAGCCCACUAGAGGGCCGUGGGGGCCCAGGGCAGGAUGUCUACGCUCAGGGCUCCAGGCCACGUGGAGCAGAGAGCCUCAAGAGGUCAACAAAUAAAACAAAUCAAGAGACAAGGAGAACCAGCACUGAAAAAGAGUUUUCGAUUAAGGAGACUGUGAGAUUAGAAGUCAGAUUACAAGAGAUAAAGAAAAAAACAGUUGGUGGAAAUAUAGGGACAAAAGUAGAUUAGCAGCUAUUUUUUAAAAUGAUAAUAUCCACUUUGGGCAGGAGGUCGUGAGGGGGUGCUCAGAAAGGCAAACACGCAGCUGGGGGAAGAUGAAGUUGUGCAAAUCUUCUGGGUAAUAAUUUGAUAAAAUAUCAAAAGACUUAAAAAUGUUCAUAUACCCCUGACCUGGUAAUGAUACUUCUAGGAAUUUAUUCCAAUGAAUAAUGAAAUAUUUAUGAUAUUUAUGAUGGUGGAAAGUAGAAAACAUUAAAUAUCUAAUAAAGAUUGGUUAAAUACAACCAUUUAGAGAGAAUACUAU